UACGGAGGGUGCAAGCGUUAUCCGGAUUCACUGGGUUUAAAGGGAGCGUAGGUGGGUUGGUAAGUCAGUGGUGAAAUCCCCGAGCCUAACUUGGGAACUGCCAUUGAUACUAUCAGUCUUGAAUACUGUGGAGGUUAGCGGAAUAUGUCAUGUAGCGGUGAAAUGCUUAGAUAUGACAUAGAACACCAAUUGCGAAGGCAGCUGGCUACACAAAUAUUGACACUGAGGCUCGAAAGCGUGGGGAUCAAACAGG
rnacentral:rRNA from 1 species